AGAAAUAUGUCCAAUAAAAGAGUUACACUGAUAGAAUAAAUAAUAGAGGUUUAAAUCCUCUUAUUUCUA
rnacentral:tRNA from 1 species